CUGGUGUGAUCAGAGCCAGAGUCUUUCAGCCAUAGACUCUGGUUUAUACCACACCACAGAGCAACAGGGGGCUGGACCCAGACCACUACAGACUGGUCUGGACCAGAACCCCCCUAACAAU
ensembl:snoRNA